rnacentral:rRNA from 1 species
GACGUAGGGCGCGAGCGUUGUCCGGAUUUAUUGGGCGUAAAGAGCUCGUAGGCGGCUUGUCGCGUCGAAUGUGAAAACUCGGGGCUCAACUCCGAGCUUGCAUUCGAUACGGGCAGGCUAGAGUUCGGUAGGGGAGACUGGAAUUCCUGGUGUAGCGGUGAAAUGCGCAGAUAUCAGGAGGAACACCGGUGGCGAAGGCGGGUCUCUGGGCCGAUACUGACGCUGAGGUGCGAAAGCGUGGGGAGCAAACAGG